AGUGAACGCUGGCGGUAGGCCUAACACAUGCAAGUCGAACGGCAGCACAGUAAGAGCUUGCUCUUACGGGUGGCGAGUGGCGGACGGGUGAGGAAUACAUCGGAAUCUACUUUUUCGUGGGGGAUAACGUAGGGAAACUUACGCUAAUACCGCAUACGACCUACGGGUGAAAGCAGGGGAUCUUCGGACCUUGCGCGAGUGAAUGAGCCGAUGUCGGAUUAGCUAGUUGGCGGGGUAAAGGCCCACCAAGGCGACGAUCCGUAGCUGGUCUGAGAGGAUGAUCAGCCACACUGGAACUGAGACACGGUCCAGACUCCUACGGGAGGCAGCAGUGGGGAAUAUUGCACAAUGCGCGCAAGCCUGAUCCAGCCAUACCGCGUGGGUGAAGAAGGCCUUCGGGUUGUAAAGCCCUUUUGUUGGGAAAGAAAAGCAGCAGGUUAAUACCCCGCUGUUCUGACGGUACCCAAAGAAUAAGCACCGGCUAACUUCGUG
rnacentral:rRNA from 1 species